rfam:Oryza glaberrima chromosome 4 Oglab04_0327_15, whole genome shotgun sequence.
AUUAAGGGUAGAGUUUCCGCGUCCAACUUUGAUUGUCCGUCUUAUUUAAAUUUUUUUUAUAAUUAGUAUUUUUUUUUAUAAGAUGAUAAAACAUGAAUAGUACUUUACUCGUGACUAAUUUUUUUAAUUUUUUUAAAUAAAACGAAUGAUUAAAGUUAGACACGGAAAACUAUGGCUAUAGUUAUU